rnacentral:lncRNA from 1 species
GAAGGGGAGUAAGAUGGAGAAGUCGGUGAAUAUGAUGGUGAUGUUGGGCUGCAAUUCAAAAAUAAAAGUUACAAGCACAUUACACAGAAUGAAUAUAAAUUCAUUAUAACCAAGGAGAAUUGACAAUAGACUAAAAUAAAAGUGACACAUCCAAGACCCAUCAGCAACAAACAAAAAAAUGAUUUGGUCUACCAUAAAUUACCUGUAAUUUGGUGAAGUUGGACUAUAAGGACUUGACGGAGACAACCUUGGACUGCUUGGUGAGUACGCAAGAGAUGGACUGUACUUGGCUGACUGUGGAUUGUAACUUGGAGAGGUAGGACUAUAGCUUGGUGACGUGGGACUAUAACUUGGUGAGGUUGGACUGUACCCUGGAGAAGUGGGGCUAUAAGCUGGUGAAGUAGGGCUGUAUGAUGGAGAUGUGGGGCUAUAGGAGGGUGAGGUUGGGCUGUAAGAAGGAGAUGUAGGGCUGUAUGAUGGGGAUGUUGGGCUGUAUGAUGGAGAAGUGGGGCUAUAUGCGGGUGAAGUGGGGCUGUAUGCUGGUGAAGUUGGGCUAUAUACGGGUGAAGUGGGGCUGUAGCUAGGUGAAGUUGGACUAUAGCUGGGAGAUGUGGGACUAUAACUUGGUGAAGUGGGACUGUAACUUGGAGAUGUAGGGCUGUAACUUGGAGAGGUAGGGCUGUAGCUCGGUGAGGUCGGAGAAUAAGAGGGACUUGUAGGAGAAUAUGCUGGACUUGUUGGACUGUAACCUGGCGAACUAGGACUGUAAGUAGGUGAUGUGGGGCUGUACCC